rnacentral:lncRNA from 1 species
ACUCGAAUCUUCAAAAUGCCUGCAAUCAAGUUCUAUAAUGCAAUUUCGUUGAUUGAAUAUUGAUGAAUCGCUAAUAUAAAAGAGAUACAACAGUAUUGUGAUUGGUGAUGUGCUGAUAAUUAAGAUAUUAUAUUACUUUUAUGUCAGUGAUUCGCUAACAUUUAAUCAGCUAAAUUGCAUUGUGGGACUUGAUUGUAAUAAUUUUAAAAAUUUAAGCAGAAAGUUAUAAUAAAUUUAAAUUUGAGAACCAAAUGUCAUCUGCCUCAUAAUUUGAAAAUGUAUAUAAAAGUGUAACGUUACACCUCCCUAUCAUUUUAGGCUUCUGGAUUAAUUUGGAUUCUUUAAUCAGAGUCGGUCUACUAUACUCUUAUGGGGACGAUCGCCUUCGUAAGCAUAAAUUAUUUUCAGUGACAGAGCUUUUAAAUCAAUGAUCCAUACCGUUAAAUAUUAUCUAGAGCAUUUAAAACUGCUAGAAAUUAAAUUUCAUAAUUUUUCGACAUCAUUUACCUUACGGUCAAAAUAUCUUAAAGUUGAUCAUUUUCUGCUAGUUUAACGGUGUAAAAGAAUCAAAAUCGGUUGAAAUUUUGAUAAAAAAUUAUAUUCACUAUUUGAUAAAGAUCAAUAACUCCGAUCAUAAAUUAAAAUAUCCGAUCAUCUAUCUUUAAGACAUCGUUCGAUUUUGACCGUUCGUUUUAUACCCGCUUGAUGAACUUUAUUAUGAAUUCGACCAAAAAAUUACGAAAUUCAUUUUCAAGAAACUUUAAAUACUCUAGACUAUAUUUGACGAUGUAGAUCAUUGAUUCGGAAGCUCCAUUAUUGAAAUUAACUUACGGAUACGAAAAGCUCUGUACUCAUCUAUUAACCUAAAUGAAUUCUCAAUAUUUUUUGCCACAUGGCAAGUUUUCUUUCAACCUUACUAACCCUUUUUUUGAACUCACAUUUGUUCUUGAUUUUUCCCCUUCCCUCCUCUCUAUUCAAUGACAAGUAAUUAAUGUGCUCUUUAAUUUAUAUGUUACUCAUUUUUCUCUUCAAUAUUAGUCAUUUCUUCUCCUUCAAAUAUCUUUUCAACGUCAAACCCUUCACCUCCCAAUCCUUUGAAAUCAUGAAAAUUAAUUAAUCGAAAAUACAACAUUUAAUUAUAGGCACUAUAUUCUACAAAUAAAUGGGCUUUACAACACCAAUCCACCCCCACCUCCAUUAAUCUCCCACCCCCCUCUCUUUUGCAUGGCCUCUUAUUUUUCAUGCAAAAAAAAUAUCAUUAUCUAAUUUUCCACCCAAUACUCAUCUAGCUCUCUCUCUCUUAUUGUGUUAACGAAGAUGAUGAGGACGAUGAAGAAGAAGAAGAAGAGCAUGCGAAGAACGUUGUCUCCUUCGAGAAGCAUCGUUCCGCAAAAUCAAGCCGCGGCCCAUAUAAAUGCCCACUAGGUUGAUUUAGUUGCGCUGGAGCUAGCUCUUUUUUAUUUUUCACAACCAAAUGUUUAAGGUGCACAUAAUACGAUAAAAUUAUACGUCUCUUACUGUAUUUCGAUGAUUUUAAAAUAUAUUUAUAAACUUCUAACUAUAAUUUAUUUUUUUAAUAGUUGAAUUUAGUCAUACAAAUUGAUUAUGUUUAACAUGGGUAUAGCUUCUUAUACAUCAAUAAGUUGUGAAUAUAAAUUUUAUUAAAAUUUUGUUUCUAUUAUCUACCCGCUGCAUCGCGCGGGUCUCUAUACUAGUAAGAAUAUAAUAGCCCUAGUGCUUUAAUCA